rnacentral:sRNA from 1 species
CACCAUCAUCAUCACCCUGACUAGUUCUUUCAGGCGGAUGAGUGCUGGAAGACGGUCAACGGAUCUUCCAGUGGCGACAGACGCAAGAUGUGAAAAAGCCCUCGGAAGAUCUUCUUCCGAGGGCUUUUUU